rnacentral:misc_RNA from 1 species
AAUAAAAGAAAAUUAAAAAAAAAAGGCUUUGCACUUUCUACUCAAGAAGCCAUUAUCUGUUUUUCCCAAAAAAAUAAAAAAUAAAAAAAUUACCAUAUAUAUACAUAUAGUGGGGGUAGGGGUGUGCCGUGUGUUGAGAGGUGAUCAUGAUUUUGGUACUGAAGAUGCUAUGUUAGUAAUUAUAAAUUCAUUUUGCAAGGAUAGAUAGUUCAUUCUUUGCAUGCUGUCUAGGAAAUCUUAACUCUCCGAAAGGAAAGAGAUUAAAAAAAAGGAACUAAAGUAAGAAUUAAAAAAUAGUUAUUUUGCAGUGAAAUUAUUUGAGCUUUAAUAACACUUACAUUUUUCUGGAUCCUUUUUUUCCCUCACUUCUGGUUACUUUCUUCACUCCUACUAACUUUUCUUAGUCUGGUUUUCAGAAAUUUGUAGUGAUUUUUUUGACUUUGCACAGGUUCGUCUUUUG